AUUCCUCUCUUUUCUCUGAAUAGAAGUCCGAUUGGUGAGGCGAGGCGACGCCAGGGAGCCAGCGAGGCAGCGACGUGCCUCCAGGCCGCGCGCCGCCGUCGCCGCCUCGAAGCUCCCUGCGCCGCCGUCGUAGGUUAGUAGCGUGCCGCUGCCGCUGCCGUGUGUGUGGAGCCGCCGUCGCAUGUGAUGUGUACUCUGUUGAACUCCAAAACAUGUGAGCUUGUUAUGUACUGCAUGUGAUGUGCUGCUAUGAUGCUAUGCAUGCACCGAUGUACUGCUUAAGUUUAUGUGAUGAACUUGUUAAGUUU
rnacentral:sRNA from 1 species